CACUCCUACGGGAGGCAGCAGUGGGGAAUAUUGCACAAUGGGGGAAACCCUGAUGCAGCCAUGCCGCGUGUGUGAAGAAGGCCUUCGGGUUGUAAAGCACUUUCAGUAGGGAGGAAGGUAGUGUAGUUAACACCUGCAUUAUUUGACGUUACCUACAGAAGAAGCACCGGCUAACUCCGUGCCAGCAGCCGCGGUAAUACGGAGGGUGCGAGCGUUAAUCGGAAUUACUGGGCGUAAAGCGCAUGCAGGCGGCCUGUUAAGUCAGAUGUGAAAGCCCCGGGGCUUAACCUCGGAAUUGCAUUUGAAACUGGCAGGCUAGAGUCUUGUAGAGGGGGUAGAAUUUCAGGUGUAGCGGUGAAAUGCGUAGAGAUCUGAAGGAAUACCAGUGGCGAAGGCGGCCCCCUGGACAAAGACUGACGCUCAGAUGCGAAAGACGUGGGGACGCAAACAGGAUUAGACUACCCUGGUAG
rnacentral:rRNA from 1 species